AGAUUGAACGCUGGCGGCAGGCCUAACACAUGCAAGUCGAACGGUAACAGGAAGAGCUUGCUUCUUUGCUGACGAGUGGCGGACGGGUGAGUAAUGUCUGGGAAACUGCCUGAUGGAGGGGGAUAACUACUGGAAACGGUAGCUAAUACCGCAUAACGUCGCAAGACCAAAGAGGGGGACCUUCGGGCCUCUUGCCAUCGGAUGUGCCCAGAUGGGAUUAGCUGUAGGUGGGGUAACGGCUCACCUAGGCGACGAUCCCUAGCUGGUCUGAGAGGAUGACCAGCCACACUGGAACUGAGACACGGUCCAGACUCCUACGGGAGGCAGCAGUGGGGAAUAUUGCACAAUGGGCGCAAGCCUGAUGCAGCCAUGCCGCGUGUAUGAAGAAGGCCUUCGGGUUGUAAAGUACUUUCAGCGGGGAGGAAGGGAGUAAAGUUAAUACCUUUGCUCAUUGACGUUACCCGCAGAAGAAGCACCGGCUAACUCCGUGCCAGCAGCCGCGGUAAUACGGAGGGUGCAAGCGUUAAUCGGAAUUACUGGGCGUAAAGCGCACGCAGGCGGUUUGUUAAGUCAGAUGUGAAAUCCCCGGGCUCAACCUGGGAACUGCAUCUGAUACUGGCAAGCUUGAGUCUCGUAGAGGGGGGUAGAAUUCCAGGUGUAGCGGUGAAAUGCGUAGAGAUCUGGAGGAAUACCCGGUGGCGAAGGCGGCCCCCUGGACGAAGACUAC
rnacentral:rRNA from 1 species